rnacentral:lncRNA from 1 species
CUGGAGUGGACUUUCAAUAUUUUUCCAUACAAAAGGAUUGGGCUUACAUUAAUGAGAUGUCAAAUGUCAAAUUUAAGGGGGUUCAUAUUCAUAAAAACACAUAACCAUAACUGAUUUUUUAAACUACUGGUGUGUCAAGUGACACCCUAUUGGUCCAUGUACAUCCGCCUCUGUAUACUCUCAAUAUGGAUAGCACACAGCUCCGCUUCUGUACGUAUAAGCACCUUCACGAGACUUAUACUGGACAUAAAAUGUUGAAAUGAACAAUACUGUAGUCGCCGUAAGAGCAAUGGUGAGAAACGCGAAAUCACCAUGCAUGAGCCAUAUAGGUCUAACAAACUGUGACACCUCGGUAGUAAGAAUGUCUGGCUCAUCACCGGAUGAUUUCAGUGUUAUCAGACACAUGAAUCUUAGCCACUCUUGAUAAGGACGCCAAUGCAAUCCAACGACAUACACGAUCGAACUCUCUUAGAACAGUUGUAAACUGAUAUGAGCCUGUCGCCUAGCCUGACCUCGAGUAACCGAAGCCGUAGCUUGUAAGUAAGAAAUAAAGAACUUGUUUGCAAAAGUUUCCUUUAACCCUAGUCUCUCUUGAGAAUAAG